GACGAACGCUGGCGGCGUGCUUAACACAUGCAAGUCGAACGGAAAGGCCCUGCUUUUGUGGGGUGCUCGAGUGGCGAACGGGUGAGUAACACGUGAGUAACCUGCCCUUGACUUUGGGAUAACUUCAGGAAACUGGGGCUAAUACCGGAUAGGAGCUCCUGCUGCAUGGUGGGGGUUGGAAAGUUUCGGCGGUUGGGGAUGGACUCGCGGCUUAUCAGCUUGUUGGUGGGGUAGUGGCUUACCAAGGCUUUGACGGGUAGCCGGCCUGAGAGGGUGACUGGCCACAUUGGGACUGAGAUACGGCCCAGACUCCUACGGGAGGCAGCAGUGGGGAAUAUUGCACAAUGGGCGGAAGCCUGAUGCAGCAACGCCGCGUGCGGGAUGACGGCCUUCGGGUUGUAAACCGCUUUCGCCUGUGACGAAGCGUGAGUGACGGUAAUGGGUAAAGAAGCACCGGCUAACUAUGUG
rnacentral:rRNA from 1 species